rnacentral:misc_RNA from 1 species
AACAUCGCGCACCUGCGGGAACCUGCGUAAGGAUCAUUAAUGAUUGGUGGCUGUUGCUGACUAGUGUUUCUAGUAUGUGCACGCCACACCUUCAAUCCCACUUACACCUGUGCACCUUCUGUAAUAGAUCUAUGUGGAUACGGAGAUAUGAAAGUUUGCGCUCUCGUACUCUGUUGAAGCAGUCUACUACGUUUUUUUACACACACACAAUAGUCAUUGAAUGUAUUUUUUAUUCUUAUG